GUGAGAAAAAACACACAAAAUGUAUCAUCUUAAACAUUUUUAAGUGUAUAGUUCAGUGGUGCUAAAAUAUAUUCAUAUUGGUUUACAACAGAUCUCAGGAAGUUUUUCUUCUUGCAAAACUUAAAGUCUAUACUCAUUAAAUAAGUUUCCUAUCCUCCCUCCCCCUAGCUCCUGCCCAUUUGCACUCUCCUUUCCGUUUCUAUGAAUGGACUACUUUAAAAUACUCCAUAGAACUGGAAUUGUAUAGUAUUUGUCCUUUUGUAACUGGCUUAUUGGUUCCAAAAUCUAAAGCACCUUUAGGAGUAACUGUAUUGUGUUUCUUUUGUGAUAUUUUAAACUAGUAUUUUUUUUCAAUGAAUUGGUCAAUUUCAACUUGCAGCAUAAAAGCUCAUCAUGUUUUAUUAUGGUUGACUACUAUAGAAUCUAUAGGGAAAUAUUUUCUCCUUCUCAUAUCUUUUAUUCCUCUUCGUUCUCUCCCUACAACCCCGUUUACCCUGCAUUAGUCUUACCGAGAGAUGACCAUUAAUCAUCCUUUCAACCGAUGUUUGACUCGUUCCUUGUUUGCCUUAGAGAAUUAAAAUUCACAUUUUAGGCUUCUUGUCUAAUGGAUUUAUUUUCGAUUAUAAAUUAUAUUUCUAGCACUAUUUUAUCUGCUUUCCCGUUUGAUAUUUUUAUCAUUUGGUUCAAGAUAUUUUCCAAUAUCCUUGAGAUUUGCACUAUUUAGACGUAUAUUGCUUGUCUUCCAAAAUGCCGGGGCUCUUUUUAGCUUCCUUUUUAUCAUUGAUUUCUACUUUAAUUCCUACUUUAAAUCUGCUCUGAGCAAAUCGAGUCUUUGGAGAUUUUAUCAGUUUUGCCCACUGACCCGGUUAGGGUCAGUUUGGGUAUACAUUUUCUGCAUUUGAAGAGAAUGUGUUUCAUGAUGUGGCUGAAGCACACUUUCUUUAUGUCAGUUAAGUAAACUUACUUGUGCUUCAAGUCUUUUAUAUCAUUACAGAAUCUUUGUCUUUUUCUUGAAUCAGCUUGUAAGGAAGUUAUGUUAGCAUCUUUCACUGAGAUUGCCCAAUUUCCUGUUGCUCUUGCAACUCUUCGAGGGGAUAUAGAGUCAAACUGAUCAGAGUAAUCUAAUCAGAAACCAUACUUUCUGCCUGUGGUUUGUCCCUCACCAUUAAGGGCUUUUAUCAGAGUCCUGUGUAUUCUGCAUGCUUCUUACCUCAGGCACCUUCAAUCAGGUCUCAUCAGACUGCAGAAAAACUCCAGUCUGCUUCUCAAAAGCUUUCUGGUUGGGCUGUUAGUCAGCUGCCCUUGGUGUAAUGGCAAUGUCCACUGCCCCAGGCUGAAUCUCCACUAUCUAGAAAUGUCCUGGGGUGGUGUUGGGGUAGCACCAUCCAGGUGUUUGAAGCCCACAGGUCUCCGCCAAAGCUCUGGGGUUUUGCUGUUGCUUUUUCUGUCCUUCUAACCUUCAGCUUCUUUAAAUGGAUGUAACAUCGGAUGCUUAACUGCUUUCUCUCACAAUGAAUCUCCCUGGAUGAAAUUUUUGCAGGUCACUAACCUGAACAAGAUUUUUGCCUUCAGAUGCUUAGCUUUCUGCCUCCAUGUGUUCCUGCAUCUUUCCGCAUACUUCAAAAGAUGCCUUACCAUUUUGUAUUCCUCUUUUCCAGCUGUGUAGGCAAAACUUCCCAUCUGCCAAUGACUACUCUAUUCUACUUACAAUCAGAAAACACUCCAGUUCAAAUUAUCAGAUUAUUUCCUUUUUAUUUUUUUGUUGUUUCAGCUUUACACAGACAGGCGCUUCUUGGAUCCGAUAUAUCUACAGGUCUUGGGUGCUUUUCUGUUUUACUGUUUUUGUUUUUGGAUUUGGGGGGCUGGGGAGAGUAUGGGUAAGGAAGGGUUUCUGAUUUCCUGGAAUUUUUCUUUAAUUACCCUCCAAAGUUUGAGGGUAAAUUAAUUUUUCAUUUGCUUCUCUCUAACCAAGAGGGAAUAAAAGUGGUAUGACUUUUUUUUGUUAGUUCAUUAUUUACGAUUUUAUUUUAAAUGCAAAGAAUGGAUUUUUUACCCCUCCACAGUCACACACAAAAAUCCAAAUCCAAAUAUGGAUUUUUCAUGCAAUUCCUUAUUAUCUGAAGAAUCACUUCCUGAAAUCAAACAGGAUUUCAAGGGCUCUCUACUAUCAUCCUACCCAGAACUUUUCCCUGUGUUGCCAACAAGUGGUUUGGAUUUUGCACCUAGUCCUUGAAAAAUGUACCUGACUAGGUUUUUUGCCCACUGAGUCCUCUUGGACUAAUUUGCCUUUAACUCAAAAAAGAAACUUAAUUUGUCAUGAUUCUCUGGUCGCUUCACCGUCCUGGAAAAUAUUACAACUAGUUUUCACAUGCCUGUAACUUUCUCCUAGUUUUAAAGAGAGAGAAAGAAAGAAAAGAAAGGGAAUGCUCUGUUUUAAGUCUUGUUGCUUUUAGAUUAUGUCUAGGACAGAAGGGGGAAAUGCCAGCUUUAUGCAUCCUCAAAGAGAAUUAGCAAGCACCACUCUUAAUUCCUGUAUUUUAUGGGUGAAAUACACAAUCAAAUAGAUUGGCUCUGUAAAAUAUUUUCCUAAAUCCUCUAGCUUUUUUAUAAGAAAAGGACACCUGGCUGCCCAUAUGUUACAUUUUAAAUUGGAUUCUUAAGGUUGUAUCUUAUUUACAUAAUAGUCAAGGAUUAAAAUAUGUGGGACUAAAUCAGAAAUAUAGCAAAAGAGAUAGAGCAAUAAUUCCCAUGAAUGGAAAUUAAAAUACACACACAUAUGGAUAAACACAGAAGAGAUGCUAUAACAAUAUGGCAAUAACCAGUAUGCUUCUAAAUUAAUGAUCUAGAGUAAAACUCAGAGGAUCCUUAGAUCCUAUCGCAACAAACCUCUUAAUUAAAAUCUGUAGAAUUAUAGUGACUCAGAAGAGAAAGGAUGCUUAGUAAAAUUAAAUUUCUUUUUUGAGUUAAAGGCAAAUUAGUCUAAAGUGCUUAAUACUGUCAAUUUUUUCUCCAAAUAUUGUAGAGUCUCAGGGUAGAGAUUUACUGACCUAAAUUAAUGCAUCAGAAAGUCAUGAGAAACCACAUAAUCCUAGUCUUCAAUUCUUUCAAAUCCACAGACAGAAACAAAUAGGAGAAUUCCAAAAUAUUUAUCUUUAAUUUACAUCACUUUUCUGGCAGUCUAGUCUUAUAAAUGUUUCAGUACUUCAAUUCAGGUGAGACAAAAGAGAAGAUACUAUGUUAGCUUCAGGAAUAUUUACAACCUCAUGGAAAAAAAUUCUAUUUCCCAUGAGUAAGUAUCUCACCUCAGAAGGCUCAGUAUCUGCUUAACAACAUUGUUUGCUGCAUCGCUAAAAUUUCUGGUAAUCUUUUGCCAAAGGAACUUGCAAAAACUAACAAUAGUUAAAAAGCAGAAGGAGAUAAUUACCUUCAUUAAUGAGGUUGCUUACCAGUUUCUACAUCAGUAGCUUGCCUGGCAGGAGAGCCAGGCUAUUUUUAUGUCAAAUAUAUGUAUUUGGUAUUCUUUCAUUAUUUUCCUUAAUUUUCCUUGACUCACCUUAACUCUUGCAGAGUCUCCCCCCGCCACCCAAAUCCACCACCACUUGUAGAUAAUUCAGAUGAAGUUCACCCACUCCUGGACUUGAGGUUGCACUGGUCCUAAAAAGGUGACGUUUAUUUUAAAGAACUGAGGACCACAAACUCCAUGUUAGAUCUCCACAUUUAGGUUUAUUUUUAACACUAAGAGGAAAAAUUUAAAAACUCUGAAUGACAAGAUUGCCUUUCAUGUACUCAAUUCAAAAGUAAGCAUUAUGAAGUUUACUCUAAGCAAUGAUAUUCACAAGGGAUAAGUGAGAGAGGGACUUUGGAAGAAUAAUUAGAGUUACAAAGUUACUGAGUACUGAAGAUGUCUACAGGUUAGGUUGUUCUGUUAUUUCAUUAAAUUUAUACAAUACUCUGAUUCAAUUAAAAAUGAAUCUGUUGAUUAUCACAAUUCUUGAUGGCUUAAGAUAGGGAUGAAUAACUGGCCUAAAUGCUAAGUCCUGAGAAAAAUCCCAUAAAAUUGACCAAUUAUUUUCAUGCAAUGGCAUGUUUUAGGGGUAAAAUCAGUCCCCUGACAGUGUCAUCUGUUCUUCUGUAAAUUAAAAAUAUGAAUGAUAUUUGGCAAUGAAAGAGAAUAAAAGCAAUUAGGUGAUUUGCUAUAAAUUUUUCACUAUAAAGGCGUUUCUGUUUAUUUGUUCCCAAGUGGGAAAUCCCUACUGUUUGCCAAUAUAAAGUAAGAGUAGCAAAAUGGAGUGGCUCCUAGAAGAAAUACAUUUAAGUAAAAUGUUUAAAAAGAACUUCAAUGACUUCAUAUGAAUCAUUAUUGCCAUAUAAGACUUUGUAAAGCAAGCUAAUAGAGACCUUCAUGUGAUUCAAAGUGGUGACAAAGGGUAAUACGGCUUCCGGAGUAACGGGGAGAUGACGCAGUUUUCAGGGAUCUUAAUAUGAUCAAUGUCAUGUUUGUGUCUUUGAUGCAAAUGAAUUCAGACUCACUGUUUUACAUACAUCAUCUAUAGUUCCUAAGGAAUUAUUUACAAUCUUUUAAGGCAUAUGCUUCACAUUUAUUCCCUAGUAUUAGGAAAGGUUUGGCACACUCGUUCUUGCUAUUAGCUAGUGAAUCCUAAGAGGAGAAUUAACAACUAAUGUUCAAAGUAAUGAGAAAAUAAGCACCUUGAAGACCGAUUAAAUAAAAUUAUGACCAUAGGUGACAGAGCUGUUCAUACUUACUCGGAUCUCACAACGAGGGGUGUGUAUUUAAGACACAUUCAUUCAGAAUAAAGCAGGUGCCCGUUACUUUGAAAAGGUCACAUGGUCCACGUGAAACGUAUUGACUAAUGUAGGCUAUUGAUGUUGUCACUGUCUGUCGAUACGAUGGCUCUAAAUAACUAAUUUUUACCAAAGUGCACCAAUUUUGACUUUUGUCCACAUGACACCAAAUCCUUCAGGUAAAAGCUAAAUUACAAAGAGGAAAUGAUUUAGCCUAAACUCUAAGUGUCUUCCCACCAUAGAUGUUUAAGUUUCAAGUUUUGACUCUUGUGGCACCUCUACAGAAUUUCUCUUAUCUUUCAAUCCUUUGAUAAUGUCUGUCCUGUACCUGAGUGUCCCUCAGUACACACUACAGUCCAUUACAAUGGACAUAACGUGGAAUUUAUACUCCUGAAAAACUGGACUUACAUCCUUAUUUUUGGCAAGUAACCUAUUGUACAUCAUAAUCGUGUUUAUGAGCAGUAGCUGCUGCAUAUUGAAAAAAAUAAUCUGCGCUCCAGAAUUAAAUGUAGAAUAUCCAAAUCCUACAUAGUACUGGUAGCGUUUUGGUGUCUCAGUAAAAACAAGUGUUUAUUUCAUUAGCCAAUGAAUGAUUAAUUUAUACUCUCACACCUGCAUGUGAUUCAUCGGCAAGGUGUUUACUUUCUGUUCUUCCUC
rnacentral:lncRNA from 1 species